AUUGAACGCUGGCGGCAGGCCUAACACAUGCAAGUCAGGCGAGAGGAGGACGGGUGAGUAAUGUAUGGGGAUCUGCCUGAUGGAGGGGGAUAACUACUGGAAACGGUAGCUAAUACCGCAUAACAUCAGCUGAAACCCUAUGGGAUUAGGUAGUAGGUGAGGUAACGGCUGACCGAGGCGACGAUCCCUAGCUGGUAUGAGAGGAUGAUCAGCCACACUGGGACUGAGACACGGCCCAGACUCCUACGGGAGGCAGCAGUGGGGAAUAUUGCACAAGGGGCGCAAGCCUGAUGCAGCCAUGCCGCGUGUAUGAAGAAGGCCUUCGGGUUGUAAAGUACUUUCAGUCGGGAGGCGUUACCGACAGAAGAAGCACCGGCUAACUCCGUGCCAGCAGCCGCGGUAAUUC
rnacentral:rRNA from 1 species